rnacentral:rRNA from 1 species
UACCAAGUAGAGAAUUCACUUUGUUUUUGUUAAGAUGUCCUUUUUUUUGCUAAGAUGUAUACGGGCAGAGAGAUAGGGGUGCUCUUGUGCUUGGUAGGGCCGGCGGGCCGCGAUCCCAAGGGAGGCGGCGGCGCGGGGUAGGGAGGCGAGGGUCGUUGGGAGAGGUGGGAGAGGGUAGGGGUCAGCAGAGCAUCGGGGAGCGGCGGCAAGCUAUAGGUUCUGCCUCGGAGCCGGCUGUCGAGGAACCUCGUGCGGCGGGCGGCCACCUACGGGACUAAGACGCGCUGGGGCGGCCUCUGAGUGGAGCGGUGGAACCGCGGAGGGCGUCCUAGAGGCGGUGGCGGAUCGCGAAGACACGCGUUCCUACGGCUGCGGAGAGGGACUAAGUUACUACUGUUGUGCGUGUGGAAAGGGACUACGAACCCGUUUCCGUACAUACAGGCUACACGUCCGUUUUGAAAUAUCUACGACUAAUGUAUGUAAUCUUUAACGGUUGAGCCACCUACUAUGGAUGAUACUGAACCCUGAGUCUUUUUUCUAGUUGUGCAUCUACGUCUAAUGUAUCUAGUCCUGAACGAUUGAGCCGCAUACUGUGUAUGAUUUGCUGUAGUUGUGCAUCCAUACUCUCAAGCCUUAUAGGUUGUGUACCUACCGCGCGUGACGUUAAAAGAAGAAGAAAACUCGACCUACCGUGACGCGUUAGACUACAUCACCUCACCAAGUCAGAUAUUUAACCAAAACCGUGUAAGUUUUAAUAAUCGAUCUAAAUUAGCACUUAAGUAGACCAAGAUAUGUACAAGAUCUCCAAAUCUCCAAAAUCAACGUUCCUAUGGUAUAGCAUUCUACGUGUAAGUGUAGACUUCCAAUUUACAUAAGUUGUUUAGCCCACUAGUACGCCAACCUAGCGACAAUAUAUAACCACUUUAUCCUUGAAGAGAAACUUUAUACAUGUACUAAUAAAAAACAGUAUGAACGUUUUUAGAGGAGGUAUUAGUGAUACGUAGGUUACACAUGAAGAAUAGCUUCUAUUUUGAUUUAAAACGUACGAAAAUAUGACUAUAUAAACUCUCGUCUUAAAAAUUAAGAUUAUAAAAUUUAACUUCUUUUUGAAGCUAUAAAACACAAAGGGUUUAAUUUAUCGUAUACUUUAGUUUUUAUCUUAGAUUUAAAGAUAGUAUACGUUUAGCGACCAAACAACUGAUAAAAAUAUUAUUGUUUUUCCUCAUGAAAAAAACGGCUACAAGGUAGGAAAUAGCGGGAAAUUUAUUAACAUCUAGAAAAAAACACCCUCUUUAACAAAAAUAAACGUACAAAAUAAACCGACGUUACGUUACUGUUGUACAAGUCUCACAUAAGGGCAACGUUGCGUGCCCGUUAAAAGGAUAAAGGAUAAGGAUAGGAUAUAUAUAUAUAGAGGGAUUAUUAUUUCGUGCCUAACUGAAACAGCCCAAGUGGCAGCGCGUGAAAACGUUUCUUCGGGGACAACGCAAACCAUAAGAUACGCGUCAGGAGUGUUAUUCAAUUGUGUUUGGCCAUGCGGGCUCCCUUUCCUUUCUUUUAGUCGGGGGGAGGGGGGCGUGUGGGACGGAGGGUUAGGGUAGAGGUGGGGGACGGUGCGGGGAGUGGCGCGCAGCGGCACGCUGGGACGGUCGCGCGGAUGGGGAGCGGCUAGCCGAUGUGCGCCUACUACGAGCUCGCGUGGUAGACCUAGCGAAGUUGCGCCGCCGAGCUCGCCACCCCCACCGUGCCGACGAGCUACAUCUUGCCGCCGCCGCCGCUGACCUCGAACGUCCCCGGCCUAGGCACGCACCAUCCCCAACCCCUCCGAUUAGGCUUCCGCCCGCCGCUCCGCCCCCAGCGGCCACUGCUGCUCCUUUAGGUCUCGCUCUCUAGACCGUUGGAUCCGUCCUUGAGCGGCCUCGGUCCGCUACCGCCUGCCCACACACUCUACCUCCCUAGGCCGCACCGUCGCGCUUAAGGACCGUCCAUCUCUCGAGGUUCGGUACCGCCGAGAAGUCAAAAGGGGCCACCUUUUCUCUCUUUCUCCUCCUAAGUCCCUCCUCCUCUCCAUCCCUCUUCUUCCACGUCCACGCUCGAACCCCUUCUCCCUCAGCUUGCAGUUCACUCUCUGUCCCUCCUAGUCCGUAAGAAGAAUCGGUCGCACCAUUCCACCUCUGCGACGAAUCCCUUAUACACGCAUGUAGGAACGAGUAAAAGAAGAAAGUCAACAUCCAUGAAAGGGCGUCCGCACAUGUAGGAACGAGAAAGAGAAGAAAGCCAAAAUCGUCUCUCCUCCGACGUUCCCCUCUCCUUGCCACGUAACUCCAACUCCUUGUGUCCUGUGUAGCCCUGGUCCCUCGAGCUCUUCUCCGAGCUAGCUAGAGCUGUUCUUCACUAGAGGUGAACCACUGUCAUGCAUGAUCUACCGAAGAGAUCCGAGGACAGUAUCUGGACCUCUUCCGUUUCUUAUAGUAGAGGUUUCACAAGUCACGUCUCUUCUACUUGGUACGUUUUUGAGUCCGACCUGGUGGCCCCGAAGUGACGACCACCUUGCUGUCUCCCGAACCGACGAUGGUCCCACUAGGUUUACCUCAUAGAUCGACAUUACUAUACAAAGUACGCUCUCCUGUAUUUAAACGUAGGAUAAAAAGACGGUUAAUCAAGGUUUAGUGUUUACAAACACGAUAAUCACUGUUAAACCACCUCUUCUGCUCAGUAUAUAUGUCGGUUACACAAUUAAAGACACUACGCCGUUCGUUUCAACCGUUAUCAUGUCAUAUUGGUAGUACUAGACGUGUCCCUAUAGUGGAUACACGUAUUCAGUAUUAGUAAGCCAAAAAUAAACCGUUCGACCUCGAUGGGCCUUGAAAGCUAAAACCACGGUUCCACCUACCUAACUUGACCCACUGGGUGACAGUCCAGUAUUUAGUGAAUAAAACAACUUCCUUCUCUGAGGUAAACGACGGCUCCUGGUUUAGCGUGAUUGAUUAGACAAUGAACGAAUCUUCUUUAACUCUUUCCCCUCGUAGAAUGUGGAUUAUCCUUCACCACCAGAUUAGGGUUGGAGUGGGUUAUUUGUAUGUAAUGAUAUUUUAAACGAACGUACGGCGGCGGAUAUAAAAAAGUAAUGAUAGUAUUGGAAAAAUCUAGUUCGUACAGUACGUAAUGUAAAGUAAUACAUAUAACGUUGAAGUUCUGGUGUUAAGGAGCCAUACAUUGUAGACAUACAACUGAUAAAAAAGCUUAACUUAAUACAUAAGUUUCGAUAAUAAGUCGUAUCUGUAGUAAACUUUUAGUAUGUUCCCCGUGUGUUUUAAAUAUACAUGGGAAGACAAACUUAUAUACCGAUAUUUACCUAAUUGACUCUGUUUCCGUCACG